GCACUUCUACUCAUCUCCCUCCUGGCUCUGCUUAUCUACUGUCUGAUCUGCAAGGGAAAUAAUAAACACGCAGCCUACUCCAGUAGUACUUACACUCCAGACGACUUACAGUAUUGGUCCUAUCAGGGCGUCAUCACACCCAUCCCUCGUGCCUCUCUCAACACCAACCCUAAUAAUGAACCCAGUGCUCCAGAGACGACCGCGCCUGCUCAAAAGAAGAACAGCAAUGGACUGUUCCCACGCAACAAAUAUCAAUGGGCUCUUACGACAUCAUGCCCUUGAGUGACAUGACAACAUUUAAGGGCAAAAAUGCAUCGGGCAAUUCUUCCGCAUCGCUAGGCCAUGAAAACCCAUACUUUAUGCCAAAUGAAGAUGAAUCAGCAUCAUCGUGAGAGCAGAGGAGAAGAGAGGAGAACUAAAGAGAAGAGAGGUUGGUCAUUAAACUGCACUGUACUCACAUUUCAAACCCAUAUGACCUGCGACAGGAAAAUGGCUUUUGGAUGGCCUCCACAUUAAAACCAUGGACAAGAUCUAACCAAACCUGUCACCAGAGUCCCAUCGCUAAAAGUUGCGGACUUUCUUUGCAAUUUUUGUUUGUUUUUCUUUAUGCAAUGUGUUUUCUUUAUGUUAUGAUGUUAUUGAUUUGCAAUGUUAUCCUGAUGAUUUAGGGCUUAACAAUGACUAGACAGAGGUUAUCAAAUGUAACAAGUGUGUUUUUCUACAGGUAUGUUAGUAGAAAAUAAAUAGAAAAGUUAUUUCCGAGCACAGAACAGAAAAAGGGUUAAAAUGAACUAAAAAUUUUAAUUAAUACAUCAUUGUUUGGUUAGAAUAUACAGCCGGAACAUCUGAAUUUAAUAUCUAGGAGGGGUGUCCACAAACUUCCGACUGUUAACUACAUGUGUGUUAAGUGUUACACUUUUUUUUUCCCUUUUUCAUAAAAAGAGUAGCCCACUUAUUAUAAAUAAUUAUUAAAUUUUCCAACAGCUGCCCUCUAAACCUCUUUUAGUUCAGGGCGACAUGGUAGACUUUACAUCUGUGGUAAUCAGUCGUACACUGGACAUGCGCUAGACAGAGUUGGUUGUAAAACGCUGGUGUAUUCCUGUAAUUUAAUGCUAAACAGUUGAGACAAUAAUUGACAGUGAGAAAUGAAAGCACUGCUUGACUUACUGUACAAACCCAUCGUGUUUUCAGACUGCUGACUACUUUAGCACACCAAAGAUGCACUUGAAAUUUUAGAUGUUUUAUUGCCGCCGUUGGUUUUGUAUAUUAAAAG